AGCGAACGCUGGCGGCAGGCCUAACACAUGCAAGUCGAACGAAGCCUUCGGGCUUAGUGGCGGACGGGUGAGUAACACGUGGGAACGUACCUUUUGGUUCGGAACAACUCAGGGAAACUUGAGCUAAUACCGGAUGAGCCCUUAGGGGGAAAGAUUUAUCGCCGAAAGAGCGGCCCGCGUUAGAUUAGCUAGUUGGUGAGGUAAAGGCUCACCAAGGCUACGAUCUAUAGCUGGUCUGAGAGGAUGAUCAGCCACACUGGGACUGAGACACGGCCCAGACUCCUACGGGAGGCAGCAGUGGGGAAUCUUGCGCAAUGGGCGAAAGCCUGACGCAGCCAUGCCGCGUGAAUGAUGAAGGCCUUAGGAUUGUAAAAUUCUUUUACCAGGGACGAUAAUGACGGUACCCGCAGAAUAAGCCCCGGCUAACUUCGUGCCAGCCGCCGCGGUAAUAC
rnacentral:rRNA from 1 species